CAGGUGGCUGCGCUUGUCUGUGAUAACCUCGUGCCAAUCGCACGUCCCUUUGACAGCGACAAAGCAUUCGGAUGUCUGCCCUAUCAACUUUUGAUGCUAUUUUCCGCGCCUACCAUGUGACCACGGGUAAUGGGGAAUCAGGGUUCGAUUCCAGGGAGGGAGCCUGAGAAACAGCUACCACAUGCAAGGAAGGCAGCAGGCGCGCAAAUUACCCACUCCCGAUGCGGGGAGGUAGUGA